AAGAGAGGGAAAAUGCUUCUGGGAUCUGGGUUGCUUUCUGAGCGGUGCUGCAUAGCAUGAGAGCAUCUUUUCUAGCUGGGAUUCUGCAUCCUUUUGUAUUUGUUGGACAGCUGCAAGGAGCUUGGUGAAAACAGGGAGGUGGAAGUAUGACAGAAGAUAUUGAAACUCUCACAGCCUGCUGGAGAGAUGUGCAAGUUACUUGAAAGCACUGCCAAGUAGGCACUAAUUGGUGCCCCAACUGGCAGUCUCAGGAGACAGGCCAAGGAUGGAGACUGAAGGACUUUCCAGAAAUCUGCACCAGCAGUGAUGGCCCAUUGUUCACAGCUGCUAUGACAGUGAUGUUGAUGGGGAAACGUUGCCCAUUUAGUCCAUCUUUCAUCAAUCUGUACAGGUGGAAGGAAGUCAGAAGGUACCAAAUCCAAUGGACUGUAUGAUGGGUGUGGUAGGUGUAAGAGCUUAUUCUUUUCCAUCAUUGUCCCAAAGCUUGCUGGGGACACAGAUGAACAAGUCCAGGCAAGUUCUGGGCAAGGGUUGAGAAAUCCUUUGUCCGAGGGACACAGAUGGACAAGGCCAGGAGCACGGAGAGAGAGAUAAGCUGCAGUUUAAUGCCUGUGAAGCAGUCUUUUGUGUGGGUUUAUCUCGAUGAAGAUGGCCAUCUCAGGGUGUACUCACAUGACUCUUGCUCAAGUACCCAGGGAUGUCAUGUAGGCUGGAAAAAAAGGGAAGAUAAAAGAGGGAUCAGCAGCCAUGAGGGGAGGUUUUCUGGCAACAGAUUGCUCGUGAAGAAGAGAUUUCUGACAUGAGAAGCCUCACAACCUGCCUCUCUCCCUCCUGGACUUGCUAUGUGCUCUAUCACAAUGCUGAAGAAGAACAAAGGUGUCUGCCAUCAGAUUCCUCUCUACGGAAUUCCUGCAUGCUGACGGACUCUCCUGGGUCUGCUACCUGAGUCUUGCUGCUUCCUCCUGGAUUGGCUCUGGGACUCCUUCCUGCUAUCUGCUUGCUGCCCAAGGCUGGCCACGCUGCUGCUGCUCUCCCACCUGCUAUUUUUGCCUCGGACCUUUGAAACAUCGUGCAACGGAACCGCUGCUGGAUCUUCCUGAUGGUGACUAUCCCUGCUUUAUGCGAUUCUUGUUUCUUUCCUA